AGAGUUUGAUCAUGGCUCAGAUUGAACGCUGGCGGCAGGCCUAACACAUGCAAGUCGAACGGUAACAGGAAGAAGCUUGCUUCUUUGCUGACGAGUGGCGGACGGGUGAGUAAUGUCUGGGAAACUGCCUGAUGGAGGGGGAUAACUACUGGAAACGGUAGCUAAUACCGCAUAACGUCGCAAGACCAAAGAGGGGGACCUUCGGGCCUCUUGCCAUCGGAUGUGCCCAGAUGGGAUUAGCUUGUUGGUGGGGUAACGGCUCACCAAGGCGACGAUCCCUAGCUGGUCUGAGAGGAUGACCAGCCACACUGGAACUGAGACACGGUCCAGACUCCUACGGGAGGCAGCAGUGGGGAAUAUUGCACAAUGGGCGCAAGCCUGAUGCAGCGACGCCGCGUGAGGGAUGGAGGCCUUCGGGUUGUAAACCUCUUUUAUCGGGGAGCAAGCGAGAGUGAGUUUACCCGUUGAAUAAGCACCGGCUAACUACGUGCCAGCAGCCGCGGUAAUACGUAGGGUGCAAGCGUUAUCCGGAAUUAUUGGGCGUAAAGGGCUCGUAGGCGGUUCGUCGCGUCCGGUGUGAAAGUCCAUCGCUUAACGGUGGAUCCGCGCCGGGUACGGGCGGGCUUGAGUGCGGUAGGGGAGACUGGAAUUCCCGGUGUAACGGUGGAAUGUGUAGAUAUCGGGAAGAACACCAAUGGCGAAGGCAGGUCUCUGGGCCGUUACUGACGCUGAGGAGCGAAAGCGUGGGGAGCGAACAGGAUUAGAUACCCUGGUAGUCCACGCCGUAAACGGUGGAUGCUGGAUGUGGGGACCAUUCCACGGUCUCCGUGUCGGAGCCAACGCGUUAAGCAUCCCGCCUGGGGAGUACGGCCGCAAGGCUAAAACUCAAAGAAAUUGACGGGGGCCCGCACAAGCGGCGGAGCAUGCGGAUUAAUUCGAUGCAACGCGAAGAACCUUACCUGGGCUUGACAUGUUCCCGACAGCCCCAGAGAUGGGGCCUCCCUUCGGGGCGGGUUCACAGGUGGUGCAUGGUCGUCGUCAGCUCGUGUCGUGAGAUGUUGGGUUAAGUCCCGCAACGAGCGCAACCCUCGCCCCGUGUUGCCAGCGGAUUAUGCCGGGAACUCACGGGGGACCGCCGGGGUUAACUCGGAGGAAGGUGGGGAUGACGUCAGAUCAUCAUGCCCCUUACGUCCAGGGCUUCACGCAUGCUACAAUGGCCGGUACAACGGGAUGCGACGCGGCGACGCGGAGCGGAUCCCUGAAAACCGGUCUCAGUUCGGAUCGCAGUCUGCAACUCGACUGCGUGAAGGCGGAGUCGCUAGUAAUCGCGAAUCAGCAACGUCGCGGUGAAUGCGUUCCCGGGCCUUGUACACACCGCCCGUCAAGUCAUGAAAGUGGGCAGCACCCGAAGCCGGUGGCCUAACCCCUUGUGGGAUGGAGCCGUCUAAGGUGAGGCUCGUGAUUGGGACUAAGUCGUAACAAGGUAGCCGUACCGGAAGGUGCGGCUG
rnacentral:rRNA from 1 species